rnacentral:rRNA from 1 species
AUUGAACGCUGGCGGCAUGCUUUACACAUGCAAGUCGAACGGCAGCGCGGGGGCAACCCUGGCGGCGAGUGGCGAACGGGUGAGUAAUGUAUCGGAACGUAUCCUGUAAUGGGGGAUAACCAGUCGAAAGAUUGGGUAAUACCGCAUACGCACGAGAGUGGAAAGUAGGGGAUCGCAAGACCUUACGUUAUAGGAGCGGCCGAUAUCUGAUUAGCUAGUUGGUGGGGUAAAGGCCUACCAAGGCGACGAUCAGUAGCUGGUCUGAGAGGACGACCAGCCACACUGGGACUGAGACACGGCCCAGACUCCUACGGGAGGCAGCAGUGGGGAAUUUUGGACAAUGGGCGAAAGCCUGAUCCAGCCAUGCCGCGUGCAGGAAGAAGGCCUUCGGGUUGUAAACUGCUUUAGUCUAGGAAAAAGGGGUGCGAGGUUAAUACCCUCGUGUUUUGAUGGUACUGGAAGAAUAAGCACCGGCUAACUACGUG